AUAAGCAAGCUGGACUGCUGAGUCACUGGACACACAAGUGGACAAUUUCGGUGACCUACAAAUACCACUGAUGGCUCUUGAAUUGUUCAGACAAUUUUUUUCUUGUUUCAAGAUUAAACCCACAGUUGGCUUUCCAGAAUUGUGAUCCAAGUGGCUCCAGUUUUGCAGGAUGUUUUGAUGAUCUUUGAACAGAGUAGGACUUUGGUCCAAAGCUUUUUGAACAAGUUCUGGACCUCAAACUUUUUGAAAGUAAAAUCUCUUCAGACUUUACAUCUGCUUUGUUAAAAAAAAAAAAAAAAAAAAUGGACAUUAGGUGUGCUGGUGCUGAGAAUCAGCUUCUCCAUGUGGACCUCCAUAUUGAUGAGCAUGAACCUCGUAGAGGCAUCCUGGAUCUCCUCAGCAGACUCCGUCCUCUUUGGAAGGCACAGAACAUUCAGAUGAAGAAAUUCACAGAAGGCAUCACCAACCAGCUAAUUGGAUGCUACGUGGCCUCUCUCCAGGAGCCCGGCUGUGUUCUGGUGCGACUGUACGGAAAAAUGACGGAGCUCUACGUGAACAGGGACCUGGAGGUGGAGAUGUUCCAGGUCUUCCACGCCCACGGGUGUGGUCCACAGAUCUACUGCAGCUUCCAGAAUGGCAUAUGCUACGAGUUUGUUAGAGGAACGGUGCUGGAUGAUGCGCUGCUCCGACAACCAUCCAUCUACAGAUUGAUCGCGGCAGAGAUGGGAAGAAUCCACUCUAUCCAGCCAAAAUGUGCUCUGCCUGUUGAACCUCUUCUCUGGACAAAAAUGUCCAACUUUCUCACGCUGGUGCAGAGCAGUAGCCCAGCUAAGCAGCGCUGCACAAAAAGUGCCGUGGCUCUACGAGAGGUGCCCAGCUUUGAGACUUUGUCAGUGGAAAUGGAGUCACUGAAGAGACACCUCUCGCAGAUUGACUCGCCGACUGUCCUCUGCCACAACGACCUUCUCACAAAAAACAUCAUCUACAACCACAAAGAGGAAAUGGUGAAAUUCAUCGACUACGAGUACGCCAAUUACAACUACCAGGCCUUCGAUAUUGGCAAUCACUUCAAUGAAUUUGCUGGUGUGAAAGACGUGAACUACAGCCUGUACCCGAGCCUGGAGCUGCAGAGGGACUGGCUGACGGCCUAUCUGGAGAGUUACAAGCGCAGCACAGGACAUGAGGUCACUGUGACAGAGGCAGAAGUUACGCAGCUCUACAUUCAAGUCUGCAAAUUCUCACUGGCAUCCAACUUCUUCUGGGGUCUUUGGGCCAUCCUGCAAUCACGGUUCUCCUCGAUUGACUUUGACUUCCAAAGAUAUGCAAUGGCACGAUUCAACUUCUACUUUGAGAAGAAAGACGAAUAUUUUGGAUUGACAAUAAUCUAGAAUCGAAGGAUAAAGGACCAGAGUCCAAGAAAAGUGACCAAAGUCCGUCUUUGUCAAUUCAUACAGUACCGUGGAAGGCAUAGAAUUAGCUUAGACACAUUGUUUGUUAUUUCAGGCUGUAGUAUCAGAUAAUAUGUUUUGCUAUCACUGUGAUUUUUUAAAUAUUUGUUUAACCACAGCUAGUAUGCCGAUAAGCCGUUUUGGCAAAUUGAGACGGAGAUCAUGCCAGAAACACAUUAAUUGUUCCCACAUUUAGCAGAGUCGCAUAAAGCCACAAAAAAUGAGGCUGAUCAUAAAACCCAUAAGCGGGUUAUUUGCAUGCUUAUUCAGUGUGUACCACAGCUCUGAUGGAAAACAAGUUUCCAUUUUGUCUUAUUGACUGUACCAAGUAUUGCAUUAUUUUAAAUACUUAUCUUUCCUAAGGACUACUGUUGUAAAGGUGAUUUUUAUAUACCUUACAGGAUGUUCAUGAAUCAAACAGUAUUCUGCAAAUUUCAAAAUACAAUGAAUGCAAAUUCAUCAUUAUUUAAGUGCUAAAACAUCAUGUUUAAAGACAGUGAAUUAGGUUUGGGGAGCAAUAUAUAAAUCAUGUCAAAUUGGUCCUAAUUUUAGUGAAAUGCUCAGAGAGUCAGACAUUUGUUCAAAUUACAAAACGGUUUCAGCUUCCAGAAAUAUUCACUGUAUAAAAGCAUCUUUGCUCACUGACUGAUGGAAAGUGCUGUUACUACGCUUGUCUUUCAUUGCACUUCCAACAGACACUGUUCACAGUGCCAUAGCAAGGCAAACACAACGACGGCUUAUGGAAUAAAUAAUUGCCUACAACUAUGGAGACAUACUGUAUCAUCUGCCCCCUCUUGGAUGCCUGUUGCACGUCAUUAACUUUCCAGUGUUCCAAAUGUUCACCAAAUCAGUGGCCUAAUAAGUGUUUAAAAUUCAGCCCAGUGUAUAAUGUAAUAAUGGACAAUGCACAGUAUAUACACUGUAAUAGUUUUGAUUUAAUGUAUAAAGUCUUACUGAACUAAGAAGAGUUCAAAGGAGGGACCACUACACUGUAAAACGCCAUGCAGAAAUGUGUUACAAUAUCUUUUUCUUUAAUUAAAUAUAUAAGUUGUAUUAAUUUCAA